GAUGAACGCUGGCGGCGUGCCUAAUACAUGCAAGUCGAGCGAACUGAUUAGAAGCUUGCUUCUAUGACGUUAGCGGCGGACGGGUGAGUAACACGUGGGCAACCUGCCUGUAAGACUGGGAUAACUUCGGGAAACCGAAGCUAAUACCGGAUAGGAUCCUCUCCUUCAUGGGAGAUGAUUGAAAGAUGGUUUCGGCUAUCACUUACAGAUGGGCCCGCGGUGCAUUAGCUAGUUGGUGAGGUAACGGCUCGCCAAGGCAACGAUGCAUAGCCGACCUGAGAGGGUGAUCGGCCACACUGGGACUGAGACACGGCCCAGACUCCUACGGGAGGCAGCAGUAGGGAAUCUUCCGCAAUGGACGAAAGUCUGACGGAGCGACACCGCGUGGAGGACGAAGGCCUUCGGGUUGUAAACUCCUUUUCCAGGGGAAGAAUAAGGGUAAGAGGAAAUGCUUAUCCGAUGACGGUACUCUGGGAAUAAGCCACGGCUAACUCUGUGCCAGCCGCCGCGGUAAAAC
rnacentral:rRNA from 1 species